rnacentral:rRNA from 1 species
GAUGAACGCUAGCUACAGGCUUAACACAUGCAAGUCGAGGGGCAGCAUGAACAUAGCUUGCUAUGUUUGAUGGCGACCGGCGCACGGGUGCGUAACACGUAUCCAAUCUGCCCGUUACUCGGGGAUAGCCUUCUGAAAGGAAGAUUAAUACCCGAUGACAUUCAUUGGCGGCAUCGCUUUUGAAUUAAAGAUUUAUCGGUAACGGAUGAGGAUGCGUACGAUUAGCUAGUUGGCGGGGUAACGGCCCACCAAGGCUACGAUCGUUAGGGGUUCUGAGAGGAAGGUCCCCCACACUGGAACUGAGACACGGUCCAGACUCCUACGGGAGGCAGCAGUGAGGAAUAUUGGUCAAUGGGCGAGAGCCUGAACCAGCCAAGUAGCGUGAAGGAUGACUGCCCUACGGGUUGUAAACUUCUUUUGUUUGGGAAUAAAAGACGCUACGUGUAGCGUUCUGCAUGUACCUUACGAAUAAGCAUCGGCUAAUUCCGUGCCAGCAGCCGCAGUAACAC